UGUAACCGAUUGGUGAGAGUUGCCGUGUGCAGACGAGAGAAGCUAAAAACUGAGAUGUGAUGUCAGACACUUUCUGCUUCCCGUAGUGAUGCAGAGCCAGAAGCUUUGAAGCAGCAAACAUGGACUGGUGUGAAAAAUUACGUGCGGAACAGGAUCACGACUCUUAAAAGAAAGGGUGGUUUGUAGGGAGACACAAACACUUCAACACUUUGCACAUUAUGCUCUUUUCGUAAGAAAUUGAGCUAAAUUAAAAGAAAUGAAGAUAAAGGUGUAGACAUUAAAAUUAAGAGACGCUCGCGCUGUUUGCAUACUUUACCACAGCUGAAGUAGAAAAAAUGCAUUAUUUUCCAAAUACACAGAUAUUUCAGAGACAUUUUCAUUCAAUACAUGCACUGCUUAAUACAGUGUCUGUUUGUACAAGAAUAAAGUUCAACAUAAGCCUAAAUACCAACGUAAAGAGGGAGGAGAGAAUGUAAAGGGGACGUAAAGAGGGAGGAGAGAAUGUAAAGGGGAGGUAAAGAGGGAGGGGAGGAGAGCAUUAGGCUUGUUGGACUUCAUGCAGCGCUGCAGAACGAUCAGCGGCUAACUUGAGCAGUUCUUGACGGUUAGAACUUGUGUCCGACUUCAGACAGCGACGCCCGUGACUGUGCCAUAAGGCAACAGAGUACAACUAGAGUGAUUGGAGAGCAGGAGGACUCAGCCAGAGCAGAUUCUCUAGAGCGACUCACAAGCUCUGAUGAUGACACAGCUAAUCCACGAUUGGCAGAGUACACCGCUUGACAACGAUCACGUGUGUUUCAUGUUUCUUCUCACACCUUCAGUUCCACUAAGGAUCACAUCUGUUCUUUAUAACAGUAAAAGCUCUUUUCAUGUAGUUGCGAUAAAUGUUUAUCAAAAUAAAACAAUGUAGACCCCACUUCACUGGUAUUUAGGCUUACUUUGAACUUUAUUCUUGUACAAACAGUAGUGCAUGUAUUGAAUGAAAAUGUCUCUGAAAUAUCUGUAUUUGGAAAAUAAUGCGUUUAUUCCACUUCAGCUGUGGUAAAGUAUGAAAACUUAGCCUGAGCGUCACUACAGGAAGCAGAAAGUGUCUGACAUCACAUCUCAGUUUUCAGCUUCUCUCGUCUGCACACGGCAACUCUCACCAAUCGGUUACAUCCAGCCACAGCCCAUGUCCAGCACAGCUAAUAUAAGGGAUGAAUAGAGGGAGUAAAAGUAAAGAGGAUGAAAAGAGGGAGGUGUAAGCGGGUAAAAAGAGUGAGGAGUAGAGUUAAAGAGGAUAAAGAGAGGGAGGAGUAAAGAGGGUAAAAAGAAGUUAAAGAGGGAGGAGAGAAUGUAAAGGAGGAAGUAGAGAGAUUUUGAAGAAGGGUGGAUGGAGGAAGUACAGAGGAUAGUUGGGCACUGAGAAUCAUUCCCACCUCCAAGUUAAUUGAUUUUUCAUUGUUGUUCUUUAAAAAAUUUUUUUUUUGAAGUUCUGUCAUUAACUGCAAUGUGCACUUUCAACACAAUGUGUCCAAGACUGUUAAUAUUAAAGAGUCAUUUAAUCGGA